UACGUAGGGGGCGAGCGUUGUCCGGAUUUAUUGGGCGUAAAGAGCGUGUAGGCGGCCAGGUAGGUCCGUUGUGAAAACUCGAGGCUCAACCUCGAGACGCCGAUGGAAACCAUCUGGCUAGAGUACGGAAGAGGCGAGUGGAAUUCCUGGUGUAGCGGUGAAAUGCGCAGAUAUCAGGAGGAACACCAAUUGCGAAGGCAGCUCGCUGGGACGUUACUGACGCUGAGACGCGAAAGCGUGGGGAGCAAACAGG
rnacentral:rRNA from 1 species